rnacentral:sRNA from 1 species
GACGGUAGAAAGAGUAUUGGAUAUAGCAAAUGUGCUUUUUCAUCUUGAACAGGUGGAGCAUCCUCAGAGAUCUAAAAAGGCUGUAUGGCAUAAACUACUCUCUAAGCA